UGGGGAAUAUUGGACAAUGGGCGAAAGCCUGAUCCAGCCAUGCCGCGUGUGUGAAGAAGGUCUUCGGAUUGUAAAGCACUUUAAGUUGGGAGGAAGGGCAUUAACCUAAUACGUUAGUGUUUUGACGUUACCGACAGAAUAAGCACCGGCUAACUCUGUGCCAGCAGCCGCGGUAAUACAGAGGGUGCAAGCGUUAAUCGGAAUUACUGGGCGUAAAGCGCGCGUAGGUGGUUUGUUAAGUUGGAUGUGAAAGCCCCGGGCUCAACCUGAGAACUGCAUCCAAAACUGGCAAGCUAGAGUACGGUAGAGGGUGGUGGAAUUUCCUGUGUAGCGGUGAAAUGCGUAGAUAUAGGAAGGAACACCAGUGGCGAAGGCGACCACCUGGACUGAUACUGACACUGAGGUGCGAAAGCGUGGGGAGCAAACA
rnacentral:rRNA from 1 species